GGAAGGGUACUCAAGCGGUUAAGAGGACUGUUUGCUAAACAGUUAGCACCUUUAUUGGUGGCGCAGGUUCAAAUCCUGUCCCUUCCG
rnacentral:tRNA from 3 species